GCGGCUAUGGUAUAACGGUUAUUACGUCGCUCUGUGGCAGCGAAUACCUGGGUUCGACUCCCAGUAGCCGCCCCA
rnacentral:tRNA from 1 species